AUUACCAAAUUUAUUUCAUUAGAAAAAUUGACAAUGAUUACAUGUUUUUUUUUUUUUUUUUUUUUUUUUUUUUUUUUUUUUUUUUUUUUUUUUUUUUUUUUUUUUUUUUUUUUUUUUUUUUUUUUUUUUUUUUUUUUUUUUUUUUUUUUUUUUUUUUUUUUUUUUUUUUUUUUGUCAACAUUUGUAUUAAAAAGUCCAUGGGCUGAUAUUGAUACAAAUGGAUCAAAGCUAAACCCUUACAAAAUUACCGCAAACUAAACCCAACAUUAA
rnacentral:lncRNA from 1 species